rnacentral:rRNA from 1 species
UUGCUCUUCAACGAGGAAUGCCUAGUAAGCGCAAGUCAUCAGCUUGCGUUGAUUACGUCCCUGCCCUUUGUACACACCGCCCGUCGCUACUACCGAUUGAAUGGCUCAGUGAGGCCUCCGGACUGGCUCAGGGAGGCUGGCAACGGCCACCCAGAGUUGGAAAGCUGGUCAAACUUGGUCAUUUAGAGGAAGUAAAAGUCGUAACAAGGUUUCCGUAGGUGAACCUGCGGAAGGAUCAUUAAACAAGUAAGCUAUGCCCUCUGGGGCUGGCAAACUUCCAANCCAUUGUAAAGUGUGAUACUAUUGUAAACAUCUUUNGGUGGAGCGUGGUGCUUAUGCCACCUCUAGCAGUCCACUGUGGCUGCCGGAGCGUCUCCGCCAGAGAGCCCUUUGAACCCAUAUAACUGAAANCCAUAUGUGAAUUGUAUGAAAACUUUCAACAACGGAUCUCUUGGUUACCGCAUCGAUGAAGAACGCAGCAAAAUGCGAUAAGUAAUGUGAAUUGCAGAAUCUAGUGAAUCAUUGAAUCUUUGAACGCACAUUGCACUUGGGUUACCGCCCAAGUAUGCCUGUCCGAGCGUCAUUACAACACCACAGCUCACUGCUGUUGAUGGGGUUCGUCCCAACUGGACGUCCCUAUAAGCCAUUGUCUGAAAGGGCUGUCCCUAGUGGGCUUGCAUCGUAGAAACAUUGCUGGCAAAUCUAGAGGGCGUGCCCCGAGGACCUACUGUAACGUCUCUCAGAUUGACCUCGGAUCAGGUGGGGAUACCCGCUGAACUUAAGCAUAUCAAUAAGCGGAGGA